rnacentral:rRNA from 1 species
AUUGAACGCUGGCGGAAUGCUUUACACAUGCAAGUCGAACGGCAGCACGGACUUCGGUCUGGUGGCGAGUGGCGAACGGGUGAGUAAUACAUCGGAACGUGCCCAAUCGUGGGGGAUAACGUAGCGAAAGCUACGCUAAUACCGCAUACGAUCUAAGGAUGAAAGCGGGGGAUCGCAAGACCUCGCGCGAUUGGAGCGGCCGAUGGCAGAUUAGGUAGUUGGUAGGGUAAAGGCCUACCAAGCCGACGAUCUGUAGCUGGUCUGAGAGGAUGGUCAGCCACCCUGGGACUGAGACACGGCCCAGACUCCUACGGGGGGCAGCGGUGGGGAAUUUUGGACAAUGGACCAAAGUCUGAUCCAGCCAUUCCGCGUGCAGGAUGAAGGCCCUCGGGUUGUAAACUGCUUUUGUACAGAACGAAAAGGCUCUGGUUAAUACCUAGGGCUCAUGACGGUACUGUAAGAAUAAGCACCGGCUAACUACGUGCCAGCAGCCGCCGUAA